rnacentral:rRNA from 1 species
AUCAACGCUGGCGGCGUGCCUAACACAUGCAAGUCGAACGCGAAAGGGGGCUUCGGCCCUGAGUAGAGUGGCGUCCGGGUGAGUAACGCGUGGGUAAUCUACCUUCGGGUGGGGAAUAACCAGUCGAAAGGCUGGCUAAUACCGCAUAAUGCAGCGGCACGACAUCGUGACAGUUGUUAAAGGAGCAAUCCGCCUGAAGAGGAGCCUGCGUCUGAUUAGCUUGUUGGGAGGUAACGGCUCACCAAGGCUUCGAUCAGUAGCUGGUCUGAGAGGACGGCCAGCCACAAUGGCACUGAAACACGGGCCAUACUCCUACGGGAGGCAGCAGUGGGGAAUUUUGCGCAAUGGACGAAAGCCUGACGCAGCAACGCCGCGUGAAGGAUGAAAU